CGGGAUGUAGCGCAGUCCGGUAGCGUACGUCGUUCGGGACGACGGGGUCGCAGGUUCAAAUCCUGUCAUCCCGACCA
rnacentral:tRNA from 5 species